rnacentral:rRNA from 2 species
CCUACGGGAGGCAGCAGUGGGGAAUAUUGGACAAUGGGGGAAACCCUGAUCCAGCAAUGCCGCGUGAGUGAAGAAGGCCUUAGGGUUGUAAAGCUCUUUCGCCCGUGACGAUGAUGACGGUAACGGGAGAAGAAGCCCCGGCUAAUUCCGUGCCAGCAGCCGCGGUAAU